rnacentral:misc_RNA from 1 species
GAUGAAGAACGUAGCGAAAUGCGAUAAGUAGUGUGAAUUGCAGAAUUCAGUGAAUCAUCGAAUCUUUGAACGCACAUUGCGCCAGUCAGUAUUCUGGCGGGCAUGCCUGUUCGAGCGUCAUUACGCCCCUCAAGUCCCCUGUGGACUUGGUGUUGGGGAUCGGCGAGGCUGGUUUUCCAGCACAGCCGUCCCUUAAAUUAAUUGGCGGUCUCGCCGUGGCCCUCCUCUGCGCAGUAGUAAAACACUCGCAACAGGAGCCCGGCGCGGUCCACUGCCGUAAAACCCCCCAACUUUUUAUAGUUGACCUCGAAUCAGGUAGGACUACCCGCUGAACUUAAGCAUAUCAAUAAGCGGAGGA